UACAGGGGGUGCAAACGUUGCUCGGAAUCAUUGGGCGUAAAGCGCACGUAGGCGGUUCGUUAUGUCGGAUGUGAAAGCCCUUGGCUUAACCGAGGAAGUGUAUCCGAAACUGGCGAGCUAGAGUACGAAAGAGGAUCGCGGAAUUCCCGGUGUAGAGGUGAAAUUCGUAGAUAUCGGGAGGAACACCGGUGGCGAAGGCGGCGAUCUGGGUCGAUACUGACGCUGAGGUGCGAAAGCGUGGGGAGCAAACAGG
rnacentral:rRNA from 1 species